rnacentral:rRNA from 1 species
UACGUAGGGCGCAAGCGUUUGUCCGGAAUUAUUGGGCGUAAAGAGCUCGUAGGCGGCCUGUUGCGUCCGCUGUGAAAUCCCGGGGCUUAACCCCGGGCCUGCAGUGGAUACGGGCAGGCUGGAGGCAGGCAGGGGAGAACGGGAAUUCCCGGUGUAGCGGUGAAAUGCGCAGAUAUCAGGAGGAACACCGGUGGCGAAGGCGGGUCUCUGGGCCGAUACUGACGCUGGAGGAGCGAAAGCGUGGGGGAGCAAACAGG